rnacentral:lncRNA from 1 species
GAAAGCAAUGUGAGUCAAAUGACUGUCUGAGAUGGUGGUGUGUCACUUCUUGUGUAGGUGCUUCACAGCUGUUUGGUUGUGCAGCACAAUGUUCAUCCCAAUCCUCAAGUGCUGGUUGAAGUUACACCUAAACCACGAGUGUUCAAGUACUUGAAUGCACCACUCUGUUAAUUAAUGACUAUUAAAAUAUCAUCAGAAGUGGAAGAACAGAACUUUCUGAAGGUCCUUUCACUCAUCUCAAGGUUAUAAAAAUACCUGAAGAAAUCAGGACAAAGUACGUUUCCUUCUCUACAAAUUCCCACAUCACCCUCUCCUUCAUUCCCACUGGAUAAGCACUUCUCCUACUGCUGGACACUGAGCAGCUCUCAGCUGCUAAAAACCAAUUCAACCAGGCCAGAUGUAUGGGACCUACACCUGAGUUAGAAUGACCUUCUCAGCCCCAGCGUCUUCCCUGAAAACAGGGGAAGGUCUGAGGUGGAGUGGAACAAAAUUGAACUUCCCUGGCUCCCCUCCCAGCCCAUCUGCAAACCUGGGGGUUGGCUCAGGCUUCUUCCCAGCUAAGUUCUGGUUAACUGGAAAUGUACCAGGCUGGUACUAAAGUACCAAGCAACAUGCUUACUACAGGAAAACCAGAAGCCAAAGGAAUAUCAUCCUUGAUAUUUUCUUUAAACAACAGUUUCCAGUAUAAACCAUGUAUGCUACAGCUGUGUGUGCUACAGUCUGCUGGACUUGCUGAGUUCAUCGAUUUUAAUGGAGUUAUUCCAUUCUACCUAGCUGAGAUUACAGCCCAUUAGAUGAUGUAUUCUGCAGAUGGAGAGGAAUAGAAAUGAAGCCAAGAUGCAGUUGAAGCUGGGCCUGGAAUUGCUGGAAGGAGAAGGAUGAAGAAAGGGGAGAUGCCAAGAAGGAAGUAGAGCAGAAAGAGAGAAAGGAAGAUGGGAAGAAGGGAAAUCACUCCUACUGAGUUUCACUGAAUCAAAUACUAAAAGAGUGAAGGAAUAAUAAACAAUCUGUAGCAAAUGGUGAGGCUUUGCCU